GGAAUUGACGGUCCCGCACAAGCAGCGGAGCGUGUGGUUUAAUUCGUUGCUACACGAAGAACCUUACCUGGGUUUGACAUAGCAGUGGUAGGGAAGCGAAAGCGGACCGACCCUUCGGGGAGCUGUUACAGGUGUUGCAUGGCUGUCGUCAGCUCGUGUCGUGAGAUGUUCGGUUAAGUCCGCUAACGAGCGCAACCCGCGUUGUGUGUUACAAGUGUCACACAAUACCGCCGGUAUUAAGUCGGAGGAAGGUGCGGAUGACGUCAAGUCAGCAUGACCUUUAUAUCCAGGGCUACACACACGCUACAAUGGUCAGCACAAUAGGUUGCCAAGUCGUGAGACGGAGCCAAUCCUCCAAAGCUGGCCUCAGUUCAGAUUGUAGGCUGCAACCCGCCUGCAUGAAGUUGGAGUUGCUAGUAACCGCAGGUCAGCUAUACUGCGGUGAAUACGUUCCCGGGGAUU
rnacentral:rRNA from 1 species